rnacentral:misc_RNA from 1 species
GAAAAUAGCGCCGAGAAUGGGAAUUCAAGGAAGCUCCAGUGGCGUUCGUGGGGAUUGCGGGAUGAGCGGGAUGGCAUUUAUCCAGGUGGACAAUGAGCUCAAAUAUUUGGUGGACGGCGUGGCCAUACACAUGAAUGAGAUAAUUAAAACUGGAGACACCGAAUUAAGGUAAGUUUGCCAUGAAAUGAUUCUUUAUAUUGUAAAGAAAGAUUUAUGUAUUAUAAUACAUUUUCAGUUAUUCUUGAGAGAAUUAAUGUG